rnacentral:rRNA from 1 species
AUAUCAAUAAGCGGAGGAAAAGAAACCAACAGGGAUUGCCUCAGUAACGGCGAGUGAAGCGGCAAUAGCUCAAAUUUGAAAUCUGGCUCCCUCCAGGGGCCCGAGUUGUAAUUUGUAGAGGGUGCUUUGGCGUCGGCCGUGGUCUAAGUUCCUUGGAACAGGACGUCACAGAGGGUGAGAAUCCCGUACGUGGCCAGUGACCUACGCUGUGUAAAGCCCCUUCGACGAGUCGAGUUGUUUGGGAAUGCAGCUCUAAAUGGGAGGUAAAUUCCAUCUAAAGCUAAAUAUUGGCGAGAGACCGAUAGCGCACAAGUA